rnacentral:rRNA from 1 species
GUCGAGAAUCUUCCGCAAUGCGCGAAAGCGUGACGGAGCGACACCGCGUGAUGGAUGAAGUCCUUCGGGGCGUAAACAUCUUUUAUAAAGGAGGAAAUUUUUGACGUUACUUUAUGAAUAAGGGGCUCCCAAUCUCGUGCCAGCAGGAGCGGUAAUACGAGAGCCUCAAGCGUUAUCCGGAAUCAUUGGGCGUAAAGGGUGCGUAGGUGGUUUGAUUAGUCUCCCGUUAAAACUUCGAGCUUAACUCGAAAAGAGCGGGGGAAACGGUCAAACUAGAGUAUGUGAGAGGUGUGUGGAACUCAUGGUGUAGGGGUGAAAUCCGUUGAUAUCAUGGGGAACACCAAAAGCGAAGGCAGCACACUGGCACAUCACUGACACUGAGGCACGAAACCUAAGGUAGCGAAUGGGAUUAGAUACCCGGGUAGUC